rnacentral:misc_RNA from 1 species
CGCCCCUCAAAUUCGAUGAUCUUCCAGGGGGAUUCGCUGUUUCCGUGGAUGACCGUCUAUGACAAUGCCGCUUACGGUCUGCGGAUGCGCAAGGUUGCGGAAGACAAGGUCGCAGAUACCGUGCGCCUCUGGCUCGAGCGGAUCGGGCUGUGGCGUUUCCGCGAUCGCUAUCCCAGCCAGCUUUCCGGCGGUAUGCGUCAGCGCGUCUCCAUCGUUCGCG